CAGGAAAUAGUUUAUAAAAAUAUUAGUUUUGGAGACUAAAGAUAGAGAUAUUCUUUUUUCUUGA
rnacentral:tRNA from 1 species